rnacentral:rRNA from 1 species
CCUACGGGCGGCAGCAGUGAGGAAUAUUGGUCAAUGGACGCGAGUCUGAACCAGCCAAGUAGCGUGAAGGAUGACUGCCCUAUGGGUUGUAAACUUCUUUUAUAUGGGAAUAAAGUGGUCCACGUGUGGACUUUUGUAUGUACCAUAUGAAUAAGGAUCGGCUAACUCCGUGCCAGCAGCCGCGGUAAUACGGAGGAUCCGAGCGUUAUCCGGAUUUAUUGGGUUUAAAGGGAGCGUAGGCGGAUUGUUAAGUCAGUUGUGAAAGUUUGCGGCUCAACCGUAAAAUUGCAGUUGAUACUGGCAGUCUUGAGUGCAGUAGAGGUGGGCGGAAUUCGUGGUGUAGCGGUGAAAUGCUUAGAUAUCACGAAGAACUCCGAUUGCGAAGGCAGCUCACUGGAGUGUAACUGACGCUGAUGCUCGAAAGUGUGGGUAUCAAACAGGAUUAGAUACCCCGGUAGUC